UACGGAGGGGGCGAGCGUUAUUCGGAAUUCUUGGGCGUAAAGGGCGCGUAGGCGGCUUUCUAAGUCAAAGGUGAAAUCCCUCGGCUCAACUGAGGAACUGCCUUUGAAACUGGAAAGCUUGAGGCCGGGAGGGGGUAGCGGAAUUCCCAGUGUAGCGGUGAAAUGCGUAGAUAUUGGGAGGAACACCAGUGGCGAAGGCGGCUACCUGGACCGGUACUGACGCUGAUGCGCGAAAGCGUGGGGAGCAAACAGG
rnacentral:rRNA from 1 species